UCAUAAUUGUAUAGUUAUGUGUUUCCAUUUUUUGUCCACCUUCUGUUUGCCAUGUAUACAUACUAACUAGAUUGGGUUGGAUCUAUGGAUGGAUGGAGACAUAUGCCUUGCUAUCUACCUCUACUUCCUCACCUUGGAUGAACUCAUCACUGCUAUUGACAAUAAUAGCCUCCUUUCUGUGCUUAGCCCCAUUGACGUUAGUGAGCUUCAAAGCUCAUUUGUAACAAUACCUGUAAUGUGAUUUUUGCCUCCAGUGUUCACGCAUCGAUCAUGACAUCGAGAAAUCAACUGUGACACUGUCUUCUACUCUAUCAUUUCCUCUUAUGUCAUUAGCACCAUGGAUCAUUAAACAGCAGAACAUCCUGGUGUAUCAAACACACGCAUAAAUAAAACAAUUCCUCUAAAGUAAUGCUGCUUCUGUUUGUCACAUUUCAAACAUAUCACAUGCAAUAAACAUGAGUGGUAAUCAAAUACAGACGACUCUAGCUCCUGUGUACAUUUUCCUGUAGUAUAUGAAACUUUAUUUUCCUAACUUUGCACUCCCCACAGUGUAACAUUUCACUCACAUAUGUG